UAAUCAGAAAGCCACGGCUAACUACGUGCCAGCAGCCGCGGUAAUACGUAGGUGGCAAGCGUUAUCCGGAAUUAUUGGGCGUAAAGCGCGCGUAGGCGGUUUUUUAAGUCUGAUGUGAAAGCCCACGGCUCAACCGUGGAGGGUCAUUGGAAACUGGAAAACUUGAGUGCAGAAGAGGAAAGUGGAAUUCCAUGUGUAGCGGUGAAAUGCGCAGAGAUAUGGAGGAACACCAGUGGCGAAGGCGACUUUCUGGUCUGUAACUGACGCUGAUGUGCGAAAGCGUGGGGAUCAAACAG
rnacentral:rRNA from 1 species